AUCCUAUCGUGCAUCCUCUUCAAUUAUUGGCACAAGAGCCUCUUUUGCCUUGGCCAAGUUGUCGGUUUCCUGUGCUGUAUACCUACAUCGAUGGAAUUGGUUAGGCAAUCUAUCUCAAGUUCUCCCGCUGCUGCCCGUUUACACGGUGCRGAAUCGGGAAAACCUUAAAGCGAAAUUUGUGUUCCGAAUUACACAUAAAUURCAAUGCAGUAUCGGCCCACGAUCGUAGCUUGAUUUCGGGGAUUCUGAAAACGCAGCGGGUAAGGGUCGUAUAACCCUCUAUUUACCCUUACGUUGGCAUUACACGCCCCAUUYGAUUGACGUUUGACGUCUCAUAGAUGUUUUACAUCUUGUGACUCAAUGUCCGUGAGGAAUGCUACCUGGUUGAUCCUGCCAGUAGUCAUAUGCUUGUCUCAAAGA
rnacentral:misc_RNA from 1 species